ensembl:lncRNA
AUGAGCAUUUGGAAGAUCGCAGACCACUGCGACGGCAACUCUUUAUCUUGGCUCAAACCAUGCCUGCAGCUCUGCAUCUGUUCACGAUUCGUUUCAGUUGCGCUCAGACCUCGUCCAAAAAGAUUUCUGAUGUGUGUGUGUGUGAGACUUUUUCCAGGCAGGGUUCGAGUGGCCUACCAGGUGGAUGCUCCUGUUUGCCAGGUGGGGUUCCCACUGUCUCAACCUCAACUCUUUCAGUUAGAGAAACUAGAGAUAGCUGGCGCGAUAAAGAGGGCAACCCCGAUCCCUCCCCCGCAAUACAAGACAGAGUUGAAGGAUGUGGAGCCUGCUGGGUAUGGAAUGGACGCCAUUUGCAUCCAUGCACCGGAUGCAAUCACCUUUAGAUGCUAAUUAUUUACAUACCAAAGGGUGCUGGUUGCCUGAACAUGUGUAUGUCAGUGUUGAUGAGUUACAAACUGAAUAUUCAAAAUCAUGAUGUUCUAAAUGGGUAUAUUUACUUUUGGAUCUAUUGCUUUAAGUUUGUAAUUGUAAUUGUGUGACAAUAUAUGUUAUGAAGGUUUUUAUUUUUUUUUUGUAACAUACCAGCAACUUAUCAGAUGACAAUAGCUGUCUAAAUAUCAUACACUGAACAGUUGAGUACAUAGUUUGAGUUUAAGUGUAUGGUAGUGUGUUAUUUGGGACAUUGUUAUUUACUUCUGCUGAUUGUAUUUAGGCUUCAGAACUCUAAGUUGUUCAUUUGUGAAGAUUAUCUUGAUGAACAUAACAUUUUGUUGGUCAGAGUGCUUAUUUCCGCAACAGUCCUAAAGCCAAUGGAAAAAUUAUGUUGGCAUUUUCUUGAAGAAACCGGGGUGAUGCUGAACCUGGGUGAACUUCUGGGUUGGCCUACAAAAAUGCAUCAUCCCUGCAGCACUCUACUUGUGUGAACAAGAGCAAUGUGCCUUGUGCUAAGACCAAAGCAUCUUGAAAAGUAGAAAAGUAUCAGCGCACAGGGAUUGUGUACUGUCGUGACUUUCACGCUUUUGCCAAUCUGCCACCAUGAAUAAAUAAUCUGCCAGGAACGUCA